GAUGAAGAACGUAGCGAAAUGCGAUAAGUAAUGCGAAUUGCAGAAUUUCCGUGAGUCAUCGAAUCUUUGAACGCACAUUGCGCCCGCCAGUAUUCUGGCGGGCAUGCCUGUUCGAGCGUCAUUUCAACCCUCAGGCCCCCAGUGCCUGGUGUUGGGGAUCGGCCCAGCCUUCCUGUAAGGCCGCCGGCCCCGAAAUCUAGUGGCGGUCUCGCUGUAGUCCUCCUCUGCGUAGUAGCACAACCUCGCAGUUGGAACGCGGCGGUGGCCAUGCCGUUAAACACCCCACUUCUGAAAGUUGACCUCGGAUCAGGUAGGAAUACCCGCUGAACUUAAGCAUAUCAAUAAGCGGAGGA
rnacentral:misc_RNA from 1 species